rnacentral:ncRNA from 2 species
UAAGCCAGGUAGGGUCGGGGCUGGUCGUGAGCUGCGGAACCCGGUGUGAAUCCGGGACGGUCCCGCCACUGUGAGCCCUCGUGCAAGUCAGGAACGCCGCCGCGACCGGCUCGCCGGG